rnacentral:rRNA from 1 species
GACGAACGCUGGCGGCGUGCCUAAUACAUGCAAGUCGAACGCAGUGGGGACGGGUGCGUAACACGUGGGUAACCUCCCAUCAGAGGGCAUAACACUUGGAAACAGGUGCUAAACCGAUACUGAUUGAUGGACCCGCUGUGCAUUUGCUCGUUGGUGAGGUAACGGCUCACCAAGGCCACGAUGCAUAGACGACCUGAUAGGAUGACCGGCCACACUGGAACUGAGACACGGCCCAGACUCCUACGGGAGGCAGCAGUAGGGAAUAUGGGUCAAUGGGCGAAAGUCUGAGCGAGCAACGCCGCGUGAGUGAAGAAGGUUUUCGGAUCGUAAAACUCUGUUGUUAGAGAGGCGUUAUCUAAAGAGGAAGCAACGGCUAACUACGUGCCAGCCGCCGCGGUAAUAC